GGAAUUGCUGAAGUUGUGAAGGUUGAUGCUGUGAAUGCGCUCGGUCAUCCCCUUGCAACUGAUGUCACCUGCAGCAUGUCAACGCAGACACAAAACAGGGCAUGGGUCAGAUCUAGCUGGCUGCAUUCCUAACACCUAGGUUUCAGAGUAAAAAUAUAGAGUCAGCCUGUGAUGGCAUUCCCUCGAAACAUGGAAGGAACUGCAGUAAUGAAAGUCAUCAUGUAUUCUAAGUGACUGUUCUGCGAGAGCACAACACAGAUGGGGCUAAAGCAGGGUGAGAAGCAAAAGUGCUCAGGAGUUAAGAGAAGCAAACGUCCGAAAUUAUCUCCAUGCAUUACUAAAAACUGUGGGCACCACGGCACGGGGAAAACUUACCAGGUACAAUGAGCCAGUGACUGUUACUGAAUUUCUUAAGAUUACACUUUUCCCAACUACUGCAGACUGCUUCAGAAUAGAAGAAGACAACUCUCAAGCCAUCAAGUCGACUGACUUUCAAAAAAAUAAAAGAUGCAUUUCUUUACUUGUAAGUAUUUGUCUUU
rnacentral:antisense_RNA from 1 species